UGCCCCAAAUUGGUGCCAGCAGUCGCGGUUAUACAAAUAAUACAAGUAAAUUUAGUUGGUUUUAGUAUAAUUUAAAUUUCUAAACUGAACAUAUUUUUAUUGGGUGAAAUUUUAAAAAUAUAAAUGUUUUAUUUUGUUUAAUUGAUGCUAGGAAACUUAAAUAAAAACUAGGAUUAGAUACCCUAUUAUUUUUAGUGUAGACACAAUACCUGAGUAGUAGUAGUUAUGUUCUUGAAACUUAAAAAAUUUGGCGGUAUUUUAGUCUAUUCAGAGGAACCUGUUCUGUAAUCGAUAAUCCACGUUGGACCUUUCUUGCUCUUGUUUUCAGUUUAUAUACCGUCGUUAUCAGAGAAUUUUAAAAGAAAAGUAAUUCUCUUUAAUUUUUACAAGAAUCUAUAUCAGAUCAAGGUGUAGCUUAUGGGUAAGUAGAAAUGGGUUACAAUAAAGUUAUUUAUAUGGAUGUAAGUUUGAAAUACUUACUGAAAGUGGAUUUGAUAGUAAAGUUGUAUAGAUUAUCAAUUUGAUUUUAGCUCUAUAAUAUGCACACAUCGCCCCGUCGCUC
rnacentral:rRNA from 1 species